CUUCCACCAUGUGGAUGUUGAGGAUCAAACUCAGCUGAUCAUGUUUGGUGGCCAGCACUUUCACCCACUGAGCCAUCUAGCCAGCCUCAAGAUGAACUCUUGGCUCUCCCAGAGUCUUUUAAACAAUGCAGAGCCACAGAUUUCUUCCAGGGAAGCAAAUUAGACAAGUUUACUCUCUAAUUUUCUGAAUUAAAAUGUCAUAUUUAGAAUGCACUAUCUUGGAGUAGAGAUAUGAAGAAAGACAAGAGGGCUUAUAAUAAAUGCAGGUAAGCUCUUCCAUCUUUUGCUGAUACUAUAAGUACCAAGCAGAGAGCCCACUAACCAAGAUGUAUGUGACAAUGGUUUUCACAAUGGCUCUGUGCUUCACUCCACACAAUGAAAACUCUAGGCUUGGAUCUUGGUUUUGUGAUUCCCACAGCAGGGUCUUUACUGUACAUUAAAAUGCAUGGGAAUGGCCACAGGAUAAUAGUUGACUAUGGUUCAGAGAAUCAGGGUGCCAUCAAAUUUAGAUGUACAUUACAGAGGGCUGACAGAUUCCAGAGCAACAGAAUAUAGGCCACAUCAUAGUGUUAAAGAUGACAGUAAGUCCUUGGUCUGGACCAGAAAGAAAACUGGAGUUACUGUGGACUGAGCCUGGAACAGCCCUGAGUGCAACAACCUGUAGAUAAAUCAAGUGCUUGGUUUUCAGCAUCUGUAUUUGAGACAUUCGUUAAAUAUUAGGGGAGGAGUUGUGGAAUUUGGUUGUUAUGCAAAUCUGAAGUCUAGAAUGGGUAGGGCUAGAGAAGUAACUUUGGGAGACGUCAUUGUAUGGAUGCUAUGGAUAUUCACAACAUCAGGUUAACCCACUAAGACUCCCAGGCACUCUACAAUAAACACUGAGCUGUCCAUCAUUCACAAAGGGUAGGAGAUUGAAAAAUUUUAAGGAUAAGGAUCAGAAACCAAGAUUCCAAUCCCACUUUGAAGAUUUAUUUACUUAGUAUAUGAUGCUGACCACAUUAUAGUUUUCCUUUUAUUUCCCUUCCUCCACUUGGAAAACCGUAGAACUAGUAUAUAAAUCGUAAUAAUAAAUGCAUUGCUGGCUCUGGCGAUGCACACCUGCAACCCAAGAACUCAAAGAGAGAGAUGCAGAUGGCUCAGAAGUUCAAGGCUAUCUGCCACCAUAUUGUGAAUUCAAGGCCAGCCUGAGCUACAUCAGAUCAGGUUAGGAGAAAAGCAAACCACAUGUAUGACCUAGAACCUACCACCAGGAUCUAGUCCAAGCUUUAGUAAGUACUUAAGGAGGACUGCUUAGGACAGUGCUGUUGGUAGCAGCUAUAAGUCUGCAACAACCACAAAAAGAAAUCUUCCGAUCACUUAAUUAUAUCUGAAAGAAUUUUGAAUGUACUCUGCCCCAUUUUGUACUAGGAACGAAGAGGUUCAUAGUCCACCUGCAUUUGAAGCUUGUAAUGACCAAAACACAUGCAAUGCCUCCCAACACCUCACUUGACAGAUGAGGAAUGCCGCUGACAGGCUGUCAAUGCUUAGUCCUUACCUACGACUCUUCUUCCUUCUGCCCCUCUGCGUGCCUCUCUCUGUGUCUCUCUGUCUUUCUGUCUGUGUGUGUCUCUCUCUCACAUUUUCUCAAAAGGGUCUCGCUAAAUAGUCCAGGCUUGACUGGAACUUUUUAUUGUCCCUCAGCCUUGCAGGUACUUCAAUCACAGACGUGAGCCAACAGGCUCAGGUUUCAGAAUGUGCACGGUCAGUUGUGGGACUGGAAGUUGAAGCAGGUCCUCUAUUCUCAGCCAAGUGCUUUUGCAUUACUCUCCCAAUGGAAGAGAAUCGAUUUGAGAACCCAUAUAUAAUAUACUGAGGAUAUUAGUAAUACCAAUCUCUAUAUUGGUAAAUGUCCUUUUCACUGAUUCCAAAUGACAUAUUUAUGUGAUAUUUAUGCAGACUUUUUUAAAAAAUCAGUUUUCUAGAUAGAGAAUGAUUCAGUUCUGUAGAAAAGAGAAUAAUUCAACCUAACAAUUUCCUGAUCUUCUGUCUUUAAUAAUAAAAAAAAAUUAUUGCUUGACUAUGUCCUAACAAGUAUUAACAUGAAGAAUUAAGAAAAAAUUAUAUACCAAUCAAUAUUUUUCCUGGCUCAGAAAUAAACUCAUAUAUUGAAAAAGACCUAUCCCAUUGUUUAAUCCGCGCAUUCAAGUUAGAAAACUAAUGACAUGAAGCAUUUUUCUACCCUGGGAUUAUUUAUGAGUGUUUUUCAAUCCCUCUAACUUCUUUGGAUGUAUAUUAGACUACAACAUUUUAGAACAGAGCAGUGUUCCAUUUUCCUUGAGAGCAACAACAACAAAAGUACCCAACAUUUUAUAUCUAAAACCACAAAUGAUUAGGGACAACAGAAGUAGCAGGUAUUUAAUCUUAGCAGAUAAUGAACUAUAUCUUAUGAGAAGGUGUUGGUGCAAUUAGCCAUAUUAAUAUAAUAAGACUGAGCUUGCUACUACAUUUUGCUACUAGGUGAAACUAAAUCCCACAAUGUAUGAAUCCUGCAUGGCUGGGAAAGAGCAGAUCUAACCUUGGUACUGGGCUUAAAGCUGGAGAUGUUCUCCUGGCGUAGAGGUGGGUUGGCAAUGAUCCUUGACAAAACGUACACAACCAUUUUCAAUAUAAGCUUUUAAAAAGCUUCUCCUCACCAUACACACAUAGAAAGUAUUUUCAAUUUGCCGAACUGAUGAGUUAGUCUGUCAGUAGAUGAGACUCCUUUUAUUAAUACUUGAUACAAGUAAAGCAAUAAAUCAAAAAGAUUUUUUGAUAUUAUAUAGUUUAGUCCGCUUUUAUUUUAUUUUAUAUAGGUAAGUUGUAAUGGAAGUACUGCUUCAAAAUAAGUUGGACUUUUAAAAAUAUAAUCUAGUUUAUCCCUUGGUCUUCAUUUUUAGGAAAUAGUAAAGAAUGUAUACAGUUGCUCUUACCUUUGCCUCUUAAGAAUGUGUCUUGAUGUGCAGUUUUUUAUUUUUCAAUAUGUGGCCUUGCCAAUGUAAUGGUCACAUCUGUAUCAUGUUUUUCUCUGGGUUAAAAUUUCCUGAAUCCCCACUACUUCAGUUACUCAUUAAAAUUUAGACAUUUGAAAAAUAUAUGAUCAAUAAAAUAAAUUGGCAGUGAGUAGUAAAGUUAGCAGAAUUUGAGAUUUUGUAUGCACAAAUACAUACUCUGCCAGAAAUAUAAGAACCUGAUUCUAGAUAUCUCUUAUUUUAGAAAGAAAAUAUUUGUAUUUGUUGAGUGUCUAUCAUGAUUCUUAAUUAAAGUAUAUAUUUCUCUAUUGAAUUGAUAAUUAUACAACAUAAAUAACUGUUUUGAGCAUGUCCUACUAUCUGUAAUUUAUGAAAAAUUAGUAAUUAUUUCUAUUGUUUAUCUUGACAUGUAUUUUACUUUGUUAUAUAUAAUUAAAUUUUCCUGUUGUAAAUAGCAUUUUAUAAGAAUUAUAAUCGGGUGUGGUGGCUCAAGCCUUUAAUUCCAGCACUUGUGAGGCAGAGGCAGGCUGAUUUCUGAGUCCGAGGUCAGCCUGAUCUACAGAGUGAGUUCCAGGACAGUCAGAGCUACAGAGAGACCCUGUCUCGAAAAAACAAAC
rnacentral:lncRNA from 1 species